AGACCGCUCCGUCUCCCGUAGCUCCAUCCUGCCCGAGCUUCUCUCGCCCCCGCAAGCCGCCUCGUCGGCAACCCCACACCUCCGCCGCGCCCUGCCGCCGGCCGCUCCACCGCCCCGCCCCUCUCCUCCUUCCUCUCGAUCUCCUCUCACCUCUGUGUCUCUUUCUCACUGAACAGGGACCUCCAGAAGGGCCAUGGCGCCACCAGCCCUCAAUCUCGCCGGAUCCGGCCGCCUCUAUGCCAAAUCCGCCAGAAAUGGAUCCAUCACGUCCAGAUCCACCCGGAUCCGAUCGGGCCCUGCCAUCCUCGCCACUGGAGCACGACGGUCGGCAGGAGCGGCAUGGCGUCGGGUAUCUAUGAGAGAAGAGAGAGAUGAGCAGGAGAGGAAAAGGGAGGACAAGAGGAGGCCAGAGGAAGAGAGAAGGGAGCGGUGACGGCGUACGGCCGCCCCGACCACACGGUCGCGGCUCGGCCUCCGCGGCCUCCACGCGGAGCUUCGCGACUACGACCAGCCGGGGGUGGAGUCCUGCUCUGCAAGGUCAUCGGCCCCUACCUCAGCGCUAACGGCAGGUGCGUCAACGUCGACCACAGAGCCAGCUUCCCCUCCGGUAUUGAAUCGUCGAGCGCUUCCCCGCCAGGGAGGAUGGCAGGCAUAACUGCCCUGCAUCUGAUCCCCAUACGUGUACCUCCCCUUCAUGUUCAUCUACCUGGAGCCGGGACGGCGGAUCCCGUUCGUUUGGGCGCUCGAGGACGGGUACUACCCCGAGGACGAAAGCUGGCGCCUGUUAUGGUUCAGGGGGUCCGCGUUCUGCCUGAGAGACGACCUGGCGUUCCUCGGGUUCCCUCGAAUGCGUGCAGCUCUCUCGCUCUCUCAUGUCUGAUGCACGCACGCUGUGCUACUGCUCUCUGGUGACUUGCUACGCACACACUGCAACAGGUUCUUCUUUGGUGUAUCAGGCCAGGCGUAAUUUGUUUUCAAAGAUCAACAGGGAAAGGCUCCCCUGCUCCAUUUGCAUCAGAAGCCUGAACAAACAUCCCCGGCUUCCUCUGAAGAGUGACAUAUUGUUUUGAUGUGGCUGCUGAAGAGUAUACCAAGUUAUCAACAGGCUGCAUCAAUGGCUCGCAACGGAGUAAGCUGUGGCGACUGCUACUGGUGCAGCAAGGCACUUGCUAGCUAGGUGUAGCUGACACAAUAAGUUUUCUUUUCACUUCGAAAUUCAGAGGAAGUCAACAUUUGUUUUAUAGUUCAAACCAAUCACUGGUUCAAAAGAUCUAUUCCAAAAUGAUAUUGUCUCUUGAUACGAGGUUACCAAAAUAUAUUCUUGAUCAUGGCCAAGGAUAAAUUUAAUUCCGAGUUAAAAACUUUAGAAUAACUUUGUUUAUAGAUUUUCUAGCUAAGGGUUGCUUUUGUUUAGCUGGAACUCAAAUCAUGAUCAGAUGUACCUAAAAUGAUGAUUUCGGCUCCGUGCUAGCUAUUU